UGUGAACAACCUUGCUGUUAUAUAUAGAAUGAGCAAGUACUGUUUACUAAUAUUUUUUACACGUUUCAACAAUAUAUCCUACAGGUUUUGCUUACGACGGAAUAACGAAUGCGAAUGGUUUGUUGACAUAAACGAAGCCUUGUUAUAAUAUGUCGCUAUCGAGUGUUACCAAGG